CCCAACCCAAACAAAAAAUCCCCAAUCUCAAACCCCCCCUGCCCAAAACCAAAAAUCCCUAAUCUCUUCUUACCCCUUUCUCUCUCGAUCGACGGCGACUCUAUUGUCAUUGCCAAGUCAUUCUCUCACAUGCUUAACUUGGCUAACCUCGCUGAGGAGGUUCAGAUUGCUUGCCGUCGACGAAUCGAGUUGAAAAAUGGGGAUUUUGCUGAUGAGAACUCGACAAUGACUGAAUCAGACAUUGAAGAAACUCUCAAGAGACUUGUGGAGGAACUGAAGAAAUCUCCUGAAGAAGUUUUUGAUGCUCUGAAAAAUCAAACUGUCGAUCUGGUCUUCACUGCUCACCCUACUCAAUCUGUCUGCAAAUCUUUACUUCAAAAGCAUGGAAGUCAGGAUUCGUAAUUGUUUAAUCCAAUUAUACGCCAAAGAUAUCACUCCUGAUGAUAAGCAAGAACUUGAUGGGGCUCUACAGAGGGAGGAACAUCAAUUAUGAGUUGCACCACCCACCAUUGUCAUUAGAUUGAGAAGGGUUAGGUGGACAGAAGUUUGUAGCAGUCACAGAAGUCACUUUAGUAGACUAAAACUCAAGAUAAAUUACCAAAGAAAGAUAACAUAUGAAACUUAUGAUUGGCAAGUGGGGAUGUAGCUCAAAUGGUAUGCGCUUGCUUUGCAUGCUCCAAAAUUUUACUUUUAUUUUUUUGUAGUUUUGUUUCUAGCUUUACUGGUUCACCAAAUUAAACACAUCUUAUGCUGAGAGUUGGGAGAUCGUCACUUUGUUUCUCGUCCUCAACGAAGCUUUCAGUUCCAGAAUUAAACUAUUUGAUUUUUGCUGAAACGUAAUCCUUCCAUCCAUCUCAUUGGACAUUAAAUUCAUUUUUCCAUUUAACUUUGUUUAGCUUGGAAAAUAAAAAACAAGUAUUUUUUGAGAGGUGACUAUUGUUUAAUUUUAUUUUUUUGAAUUUUGCAAGUGAAAUUCAAAAUUUCUUUUAUAUUGGAUUUUGGGCAAUGAAAAUGAUGAAGUUUAAUCCAAAAAAAAAAAAUCUCUCAUCAAAAGCAGUACAGAAUCUUAUCAUAACAACCGAAUGGAAAGAAGUUUGGUUUGAUGAAGAUGUAAUAAGCAAAACAAUUGACAGUCUGUUAAGACAAAUAGAAUCGUUAGUAUUUAUUCUGUUCAUCUAAUCACUUUAUGUCAAAUAGAGAAUAUUUAUUUAUUUCCCAACUUCAUCGAAAAAAUUGAAUUUUGAUUUUUUUUUUCUUCUAAUUUUUUAGAUAACCAAAUAAAAGUUUUAAAUUUUUUUUAAAAUUGAAGUCAGAAUUUAAGAAUCAAACAGGGUGAUUAGUUUUUGUUACAGUAUUAAAAUUUAUAAUUUUUUUU